CAAGUUAAUGUUAUUAAGGUGGUACCUAACACUACAGGGAGAUAACUCUGUAAAGUCAGCUUAACGUUUUAAUUACGUUGUGUUGUAAAAGGAAUAUUAAGCUUCUCAAUGAUCAAAAUUGGUGUUUGUCAAAUUGCUAUAUAACCAGUGUAAUUUUUCUGAUUAAACGGUUGGUUCAAAUUUUUUGAAAUUUUUAUAUUUUUGUCAAAGGGUCAAAGUAAAUAUUUUG
rnacentral:lncRNA from 1 species